rfam:Actinobacterium acMicro-4 AMD-COM-C5, whole genome shotgun sequence.
CGGGGUGUGGCGCAGCUUGGUAGCGCGCGUCGUUCGGGACGACGAGGUCGCAGGUUCGAAUCCUGUCACCCCGA